rnacentral:rRNA from 1 species
UACGUAGGGCGCAAGCGUUGUCCGGAAUUAUUGGGCGUAAAGAGCUCGUAGGCGGUCUGUUGCGUCUGCCGUGAAAACCCGAGGCUUAACCUCGGGCCUGCGGUGGAUACGGGCGGACUAGAGGUAGGUAGGGGAGAAUGGAAUUCCCGGUGUAGCGGUGAAAUGCGCAGAUAUUGGGAGGAACACCGGUGGCGAAGCCGGUUCUCUGGGCCUUACCUGACGCUGAGGAGCGAAAGCGUGGGGAGCGAACGGG